rnacentral:rRNA from 1 species
UCUUGAAACACGGACCAAGGAGUCUAACAUAUGUGCAAGUUAUUGGGAGAUAAACCUAAUAGCGUAAUUAACUUGACUAAUAAUGGGAUUAGUUUUUUAACUAUUAUAGAUAAUUAACACAAUCCCGGGGCGUUCUAUAUAGUUAUGUAUAAUAAUAUUUAUAUUAUUUAUGCCUCUAACUGGAACGUACCUUGAGCAUAUAUGCUGUGACCCGAAAGAUGGUGAACUAUACUUGAUCAGGUUGAAGUCAGGGGAAACCCUGAUGGAAGACCGAAACAGUUCUGACGUGCAAAUCGAUUGUCAGAAUUGAGUAUAGGGGCGAAAGACCAAUCGAACCAUCUAGUAGCUGGUUCCUUCCGAAGUUUCCCUCAGGAUAGCUGGUGCAUUUUAAUGUUAUAUAAAAUAAUCUAUCUGGUAAAGCGAAUGAUUAGAGGCCUUAGGGUCGAAACGAUCUUAACCUAUUCUCAAACUUUAAAUGGGUAAGAACCUUAACUUUCUUGAUAUGAAGUUUAAGGUUAUGAUAUAAUGUGCCCAGUGGGCCACUUUUGGUAAGCAGAACUGGCGCUGUGGGAUGAACCAAACGUAAUGUUACGGUGCCCAAAUUAACAACUCAUGCAGAAACCAUGAAAGGCGUUGGUUGCUUAAAACAGCAGGACGGUGAUCAUGGAAGUCGAAAUCCGCUAAGGAGUGUGUAACAACUCACCUGCCGAAGCAACUAGCCCUUAAAAUGGAUGGCGCUUAAGUUGUAUACCUAUACAUUACCGCUAAAGUAGAUGAUUUAUAUUACUUGUGAUAUAAAUUUUGAAACUUUAGUGAGUAGGAAGGUACAAUGGUAUGCGUAGAAGUGUUUGGCGUAAGCCUUCAUGGAGCUGCCAUUGGCACAGAUCUUGGUGGUAGUAGCAAAUAAUCGAAUGAGACCUUGGAGGACUGAAGUGGAGAAGGGUUUCGUGUGAACAGUGGUUGAUCACGAGUUAGUCGGUCCUAAGUUCAAGGCGAAAGCCGAAAAUUUUCAAGUAAAAAAUCAGUGAGUAAUAUUGUCAAAUCUUUUAUGAUUUUUAAAUACUUGAAUAAUUUUGAACGAAAGGGAAUACGGUUCCAAUUCCGUAACCUGUUGAGUAUCCGUUUGUUAUUAAAUAUGGGCCUCGUGCUCAUCCUGGCAACAGGAACGACCAUAAAGAAGCCGUCGAGAGAUAUCGGAAGAGUUUUCUUUUCUGUUUUAUAGCCGUACUACCAUGGAAGUCUUUCGCAGAGAGAUAUGGUAGAUGGGCUAGAAGAGCAUGACAUAUACUGUUGUGUCGAUAUUUUCUCCUCGGACCUUGAAAAUUUAUGGUGGGGACACGCAAACUUCUCAACAGGCCGUACCAAUAUCCGCAGCUGGUCUCCAAGGUGAAGAGUCUCUAGUCGAUAGAAUAAUGUAGGUAAGGGAAGUCGGCAAAUUAGAUCCGUAACUUCGGGAUAAGGAUUGGCUCUGAAGAUUGAGAUAGUCGGGCUUGAUUGGGAAACAAUAACAUGGUUUAUGUGCUCGUUCUGGGUAAAUAGAGUUUCUAUCAUUUAUGGUAGUUACUUGUUCCCCGGAUAGUUUAGUUACGUAGCCAAUUGUGGAACUUUCUUGCUAAAAUUUUUAAGAAUACUAAUUGGGUUAAACCAGUUAGUUCUUAUUAAUUAUAACGAUUAUCAAUUAACAAUCAAUUCAGAACUGGCACGGACUUGGGGAAUCCGACUGUCUAAUUAAAACAAAGCAUUGUGAUGGCCCUAGCGGGUGUUGACACAAUGUGAUUUCUGCCCAGUGCUCUGAAUGUCAAAGUGAAGAAAUUCAAGUAAGCGCGGGUCAACGGCGGGAGUAACUAUGACUCUCUUAAGGUAGCCAAAUGCCUCGUCAUCUAAUUAGUGACGCGCAUGAAUGGAUUAACGAGAUUCCUACUGUCCCUAUCUACUAUCUAGCGAAACCACAGCCAAGGGAACGGGCUUGGAAUAAUUAGCGGGGAAAGAAGACCCUUUUGAGCUUGACUCUAAUCUGGCAGUGUAAGGAGACAUAAGAGGUGUAGCAUAAGUGGGAGAUAUUAGAUUUCGGUUUGGUAUCGACAAUGAAAUACCACUACUCUUAUUGUUUCCUUACUUACUUGAUUAAAUGGAACGUGUAUCAUUUCCUAGCCAUUAUACGGAUAUAUUUAUUAUAUCUUAUGGUAUUGGGUUUUGAUGCAAGCUUCUUGAUCAAAGUAUCACGAGUUUGUUAUAUAAUCGCAAACAAAUUCUUUAAUGAGAAAAUGCAUUUAUGUAUUUUCAAUUUGAAAAUUUGGUAUAACUCCAAUUACUCAGGUAUGAUCCAAUUCAAGGACAUUGCCAGGUAGGGAGUUUGACUGGGGCGGUACAUCUCUCAAAUAAUAACGGAGGUGUCCCAAGGCCAGCUCAGUGCGGACAGAAACCACACAUAGAGCAAAAGGGCAAAUGCUGACUUGAUCUCGGUGUUCAGUACACACAGGGACAGCAAAAGCUCGGCCUAUCGAUCCUUUUGGUUUAAAGAGUUUUUAACAAGAGGUGUCAGAAAAGUUACCAUAGGGAUAACUGGCUUGUGGCGGCCAAGCGUUCAUAGCGACGUCGCUUUUUGAUCCUUCGAUGUCGGCUCUUCCUAUCAUUGUGAAGCAAAAUUCACCAAGCGUUGGAUUGUUCACCCAUGCAAGGGAACGUGAGCUGGGUUUAGACCGUCGUGAGACAGGUUAGUUUUACCCUACUAAUGACAAAACGUUGUUGCGACAGCAUUCCUGCGUAGUACGAGAGGAACCGCAGGUACGGACCAAUGGCACAAUACUUGUUCGAGCGAACAGUGGUAUGACGCUACGUCCGUUGGAUUAUGCCUGAACGCCUCUAAGGUCGUAUCCGUGCUGGACUGCAAUGAUAAAUAAGGGGCAAUUUGCAUUGU